CCUACGGGGGGCAGCAGUGGGGGAUAUUGCACAAUGGGGGAAACCCUGAUGCAGCGACGCCGCGUGAGGGAAGACGGUUUUCGGAUUGUAAACCUCUGUCUUUGGGGACGAAUUGAGACGGUACCCAAGGAGGAAGCUCCGGCUAACUACGUGCCAGCAGCCGCGGUAAUACGUAGGGAGCAAGCGUUGUCCGGAAUUACUGGGUGUAAAGGGAGCGUAGGCGGGAUAGUAAGUUGAUUGUUAAAACUAUCGGCUCAACUGGUAGAUGCGAUCAAAACUGCAAUUCUUGAGUGAAGUAGAGGCAG
rnacentral:rRNA from 1 species